GCGCCGUUGGUGCAGGGGUAGCAUAGUUGCCUUCCAUUGUUAUCCUGAUCGGGAAGCAGAGUGAGCAACUGGGAAGGGUUCGAGUCCCUUACGGCGCA